rnacentral:rRNA from 1 species
UACAGAAGUCGGUGAGCCAACCCGCAAGGGGGCAGCCGCCUAAGAAGUGACUCAUGACUGGGGUGAAGUCGUAACAAGGUAACCGUAGGUGAACCUGCAGAAGGAUCA